rnacentral:rRNA from 1 species
UACGAAGGGGGCUAGCGUUGCUCGGAAUCACUGGGCGUAAAGCGCACGUAGGCGGCUUUCUAAGUCAGGGGUGAAAUCCUGGAGCUCAACUCCAGAACUGCCUUUGAUACUGGAAAGCUUGAGUUCGGGAGAGGUGAGUGGAACUGCGAGUGUAGAGGUGAAAUUCGUAGAUAUUCGCAAGAACACCAGUGGCGAAGGCGGCUCACUGGCCCGGUACUGACGCUGAGGCGCGAAAGCGUGGGGAGCAAACAGG